CUACGGGUGGCACCAGUGAGGAAUAUUGCACAAUGGGGGGAACCCUGAUGCAGCAACGCCGCGUGGAGGAUGACGCAUUUCGGUGUGUAAACUCCUUUUAUAUGUCAAGAAAAUGACGGUAGCAUAUGAAUAAGCACCGGCUAACUCCGUGCCAGCAGCCGCGGUAAUACGGAGGGUGCAAGCGUUACUCGGAAUCACUGGGCGGAAAGGACGCGUAGGCGGGUUGGAAAGUCAGGUGUGAAAUCCUACAGCCUAACUGUAGAACUGCACUUGAAACUUCUAAUCUAGAGUAUGGGAGGGGGAGAUGGAAUUAGUGGUGUAGGGGUAAAAUCCGUAGAUAUCACUAGGAAUACCUAAAGCGAAGGCGAUCUCCUGGAACAUUACUGACGCUAAGGCGUGAAAGCGUGGGGAGCAAACAGGAUUAGAUACCCCAGUAGUC
rnacentral:rRNA from 1 species